rnacentral:rRNA from 1 species
AUACGUAUGGUGCAAACGUUGUUCGGAAUCACUGGGCUUAAAGAGCACGUAGGCGGUUAAGAAAGUCUGGCGUGAAAUCCCUCGGCUUAACCGAGGAACUGCGCUAGAUACUGCUUGACUCGAGUGUGGGAGGGGAGAACGGAAUUCCUGGUGGAGCGGUGAAAUGCGUAGAUAUCAGGAGGAACGCCGGAGGCGAAAGCGGUUCUCUGGCCCACAACUGACGCUGAGGUGCGAAAGCUAGGGGAGCAAACAGGAUUAGAAACCCGAGUAGUCC